ensembl:lncRNA novel transcript
GAGGCUGCAGUGACCCACUGCACUCCAGUCUGGGUGACAGAACGAGACUCUGUCUCUAAAAAAUAAAUAAAUACUGAUAAACAAAACAUACCUCUAAUUAUACUCAGCUUUUUUGGUUGAGGAUAAACAGAUGCUUUAGAAUUUUAGCCUUCAGUAGUUUGUAAUCAUAUUAUCAUUGUGUAGUAAUUGUGAACAAAUUUCUGACUACUGAUAUUCUGCUUAAUUUCUGACUACUGAUAUUACUGCUUAAGUUAGGAUUUCUGACUGCUGAUAUUCCGCUGAAGUUAGGAUUUACUCUGUUAACUUCAUGCCAUUAUUUUAGCCCCUUUUUCUUCAUUUACUUUUGGCCUUAAGGCUGUAGAAACAAGUAGUAAUAAUUAGUCAGAUUAUGGAACUGAUGAGCUGUGGUUAUAGCCUCCAUCACCAGAAAGCCUUUCAUUAAUUUUUAACACAGUGCUAUUUACAUAGGAAAAGGUCUAUUUUAACAUAGUUGUAUUCCCUCGAAAGAAACUUUUUGCCCUAGGUAUCCAUAAAAGUGGCACAGUAGUUUUCUUUGUUUUACUUUGGAUGAAAAUGGAGAAAUAAAUGUGAAUCAAAAGUAAUCUGUGAGAAAAAUAGCAAUCUUUUUUGAAAAUGUGUUGAAACUCUGUGCCCCAAAAUGCUAGUGCCCACGUUGUUAAUUGUAUCAGUCCUCUUGGAUAUAGAUGUUUUCCUGGACACACCAGCUACACAAUAAGCCAGUAAAUGUAAGUUUGACCUGCUUGUUAUUAUUGGGAGCCCUAGGUAUGUCAAAGGCUUUUCACCAAGCCAGGGUUAUUAAUCAAAGCUGACUCCCUCGUAUUGAUCAGACCUCAAAUGGUUGGGUUCCAUGCCACCCUGUUUAUAUAUUGCUGUUUAAUUUGCAGCCACCCUGUGUGCACUCUAUCUAAGUGACAACGGUUUUGAAAUCCUGCCACCAGAUAUUGGGAAGCUCACAAAGUUGCAGAUAGUAAGUAAGUUAUCUAAAUUCUUAGAAAAUCAAUUCACUGCUGCAGCCUUGUAGGGGUAGAAUCAAGUAAAUCUGAGCAGAAGUAAGGUUUGUUUUGCAGGAAUAAACCACUACUUCUGAUAGUGUUUCUUGAUUAUCCGCCAGCACUUGUAAAUAAAUGGAAAGGACUGAGCUGUGGUAGAAGAGAGGACGUGGAGGAGGAUGAGAGUUUCUGUGGAGCACCUUUUAAUGUGAAAAUGUGUUGACAACUCCUUGUUUUCUUCUGUUUAGCUCAGCAAUAGGGAUAAAGACCUGAUCUCACUGCUUAAGGAAAUUGGGGAGCUUACCCAGCUUAAAGAGCUCCACAUUCAGAGGAACCGCCUCACUGUUCUACGCCCAGAACUAGGCAAUGAUGGGACCUCUUCUCCUGCAUUUGUUACCCAGAUAAUUUUGCCUUUGGAGAAGAGAAGAAAAUCACAUUGGUCUGCUCGGAAUGCAACAAAACAAAGUGUUAUUGACACCAAAACCUUAUUUGCACCAAUCCAAACAGCCUAUGGGACAUAUGUCUGCAAUGCUGCACACACCUGGGGCUAGCCAGCUUAGUGCCCUACGAUAUGUGCCAAUAAUCGAUAGCAUUUUUUACUACAGUAAUUAUGAGAAGCAUAGUAUUUUCUAGCAUGCUUGUGAAGAGUGGAAACAAAUAUUAAUCCCCUUCAGAGAGUAAAGGACAUUAUGAAUUG